rnacentral:rRNA from 1 species
GAUGAACGCUGGCGGCGUGCCUAACACAUGCAAGUCGAGCGGGGUUUAGGGGAUGCUUGCAUCUUCUAAGCUUAGCGGCGGACGGGUGAGUAACACGUGGAUACCCUGCCUUACACAGGGGAACAACAAUGAGAAAUCAUUGCUAAAACCCCAUAAGCUCCCGGUGUCGCCUGACAGAGAGAGCAAAUAUGUAUAGGUGAAAGAGGGGGCCCCGUCUGAUUAGGUAGUUGGCAGGGUAAAGGCGUACCAAGGCUACGAUCAGUAGCCGACCUGAGAGGGUGAUCUGCCACAUUGGGACUGAGACACGGCCCAAACUCCUACGGGAGGCAGCAGUGAGGAAUAUUGCACAAUGGGCGCAAGCCUGAUGCAGCAACGCCGCGUGAAGGAUGAAGGUUUUCGGAUCGUAAACUUCUUUAGGCAGGGAAGAAACAAAUGACGGUACCUGCAGAAUAAGCCCCGGCUAACUACGUGCCAGCCGCCGCCGUA